rnacentral:tRNA from 1 species
CUCGGUGUAGCUCAGUUCGGUACGAGCGCCUGAUUUGGGAUCAGGAGGCCGGGGGUUCGAUGCCCUCCACCGUGACCA